rnacentral:lncRNA from 10 species
GCAUGCACAGCCUUUUGUCCUGUGCCUGGCACAGAGGAGGUGCUUCCAACUGUGGUUUUCAUCUCCUUUCUUUCCUUUCUUGGAAGAGCCAGAGUAGUGAGGAAAACCCUGAAAGCAGGCAGUGGGACCAUUCAUCCGGCCUGGAAAGAAAUGGUUCGCAUAACAUUUGCCUGUGAUUAGGGGCAAAAUUUACCAGGAUCUUCAAGUGACCUUGAAAUGGCUGUGGCUGCUCCUUUAGAGGACUCCAUCCUGACCCUCUUCUAGCCAUGCCUCUCCCUGUGGGGAAGGAGUCUACAGGGCCAAGGAGACGUGACUCUGUGAAGCCCAUGGCUCCCUUCUAAAACAUUCUCUGGAUAUUCUCUGCAGUCUUGAACUCCUGGGCUCAAGUGAUCUUCCCGCCUCAGCCUCUGGAGUAGCUAGGACUACAGGUGUGUACCACCACAGCCAGCCCUUCCUUCGGUUUGCACUUUCCUCUUCCAACUUAUGCUCAUUUCCCCCGACCCAGGCCUCUCCCUUUAAGAUCAAAUAUAAUAAUUCCUGGAAUUCCCCACCUGAAAGGCUCCUAGCCUGUUCCAAACUUUUCCGGGCUUCUUUCCCAGAUCUAUCCUCCCAAAGACUGAGGUCACAGCCAGUAUGGCUAGUCUGUGCACCCCUAGGCUUAAGAAAUAGCAAAGGGGUGGCUGUGAGUGGGGCAUGUGGAUGGAGCUUGGGCCUGUGGGUUGGGCUGGGGGCAAGUAGAGUGGGAGAUGGGAGGAUAAGUCCAUGAGUCCAGGACUAAGCAUCUGGGAGCUGGCAUUCUCUGGAAGAGUGAGAAUUCUAAAUUUGAAAGCAGCCUUCUAAGUCAUUG